GAUGAGCGCUGGCGGCGUGCCUAAUACAUGCAGGUCGAGCGAACAGACGAGGAGCUUGCUCCUCUGACGUUAGCGGCGGACGGGUGAGUAACACGUGGAUAACCUACCUAUAAGACUGGGAUAACUUCGGGAAACCGGAGCUAAUACCGGAUAAUAUAUUGAACCGCAUGGUUCAAUAGUGAAAGACGGUUUUGCUGUCACUUAUAGAUGGAUCCGCGCCGCAUUAGCUAGUUGGUAAGGUAACGGCUUACCAAGGCAACGAUGCGUAGCCGACCUGAGAGGGUGAUCGGCCACACUGGAACUGAGACACGGUCCAGACUCCUACGGGAGGCAGCAGUAGGGAAUCUUCCGCAAUGGGCGAAAGCCUGACGGAGCAACGCCGCGUGAGUGAUGAAGGUCUUCGGAUCGUAAAACUCUGUUAUUAGGGAAGAACAAAUGUGUAAGUAACUAUGCACGUCUUGACGGUACCUAAUCAGAAAGCCACGGCUAACUACGUG
rnacentral:rRNA from 1 species